AAUCAAAAAUUAGUAGUCCCGGUAAGUGCAUGUAAGUACAUCAAUUCGAAGUAUACAGGCAAUUUUGAUCCUCACAAGUGGUACCGGGUGUUCUGGAAGGAUAACACACACUGCGGCCACUAUCACGCUCAAGUGAUUAAGCUUUACGGCACCGAGGAUGAUGCAAGGAAUGCAACAGAAAAACGACCAUCCAUUCCGCAGACCCGAUUGCGACUCCUCCGAUAGCUGCAGUUCAAAAGAACUGGACAAUGAGUCGGCUAAAAAAACAAAGAACCUUGUCCUUUGCGGGUGUUGCAGUCGCAAGCCUCAAAAACAGAAACGACUUGCACCUUUGCCACCACUAUGUGCUGCCACGCUGGAACCGCCACAGCGACCACGGACAGCCCUGAAGUAGCGCACUCAAGUGUGAGGG